AGCCUUCUGUAUCCAUGCUGAGAUCUCGUCACACACCAGACCACAAGGGCUGAUGAGACUUCCAAGAUAAGUGAAGCG
rfam:Schistosoma rodhaini strain Burundi genome assembly, scaffold: SROB_scaffold0012039